GGUUUUGAAUGGAACUGACCUGCUCUCUACGUCAUAUGCCAGGAAAGUAGGCCUGGUUCAACUAGAGAGAAAUUGAGAAGCAGCAUCCACUGAAGUAUCACAUGGCUUCCCAGAAUGUAUUACACAUUGCUACUGAGUCACAGUAUGUGGAAAUGUGGAGACCGAGAAUACAGAACUGUGUAGGAGUGAGUGGGUCUGCCACCUCUCCCUGUACCCAUCCAGUGUGAAACAAGGCCAUUCAUGCACACAUUACUAGAAAUGCCCUGGAGGCCUUAUGAAUAAUCAUUGGAGCAGUAUCUGCUGCAAGAUAACAUUGUGCUUUAUUUUUGCCUUUAAGUAAAAGGAAUCUGAAAUGAAACAAUCUUCAUUUCAGAUAUAAAUCAGCCCCAUAAACUUGAAGCUAACCAGAGAUCCUGAGGCAUUCUCAUUACAUGAAGUAAUUGGUUGGUUGCAAGACUCAAUUGUCCUGCAAAGUCUCUGAGAAUUCAGAUGAGCAGUUAUCUGAAGAGUUAUACAUCCUCUCACCUGACGUGUUAUAGCAACACAUAGCACUGGCCAGUGGGGAGAAUGAUUUCUAGUCUCUGGUGAGGCCUGAACUCUCCAGCAAGUGGGCCUAUGACUCAGAAACCCCGUGCUUCAGUAUCCGAAGGUGGCCAGGGAACUUUGAGGUCCCUUUGAGGAAAUGAAACUUCAUCAAAAGCAACCGAUAUUAAUGAUAUAUUGUGCAUCUAUUGUGUACAUCCAGUUUUGUAGUCUCCUUGGUGACGUUUAUCUUAUUUAACCUCCCCAAGAAAUCAGCAAAAUAAGUACCAUUACCCUCUUUUAUGGAAUAAAACUAAAACUCACAGAGGUUGGGUAACUUUGGAAUCACUCAACCUUCUCAACGCAUGAAGAAAAAAUCCUAAAUCUGACCCAAACAGGAGACAUCGGAGAGCAGAUGCAAGAGACCUGAAUCUUAAUCCUGAAAUGGAGAAAGCCAAGAAUAUCCUGAUCUAAACCACAGAGCCCUCAAAAGGCUCAGAACAACACACAAGUUUUUGGGAAGUUACUGGCGGAUGUGUGUCAUCAAAACAAGCGAAUCAGCAGUCCUCUCUCUAAGAAGAAACAACUGGAAAUGCUGGGUUCUUGAAUUCUGAUUUUCUUUUAGGGUGAGAAAGUGGGUCACUCAGCUCUACUUUAUAAUAUUGGGCUCCUGAGAAUGAUUAGUAUUUAAAUGAGCAGAGAUACUUCUAAAGUGUUCUAUUAUCUAAAUUAUACAGGGAUAAGAAAAUGGGAGGUUAGCACAGACAGAGUGAACCCCCAGGGUGAGGGUGAAGGGAGAUGACUGGUACAUAGCCCAGUCCCGGGCAGGGAGGAUGAACAUCCAGACCCAAGCACUGAGGCACAGGAGGUAGGCAGGCUGCGGAUUGUCAUCACCACAUCAUUGGCUGCCAUACCUUCUUCUUCUUCUUUUUAAUAAACUUCAUUUUUAGAGUAGUUUUACAUUCAUAGUAAAAUUGAAUGGAAGAUACAGAGGUUUUCCAUAUACCCUCUGCCCCAACACAUGCAUAGCGUCCUCAAUUAUCCACAUCCCUCACCUCAGGGGUAUGUUUGUUCCAAUUGAUUAAUCUUCAUUGACACAUCAUGAUCACCUAAAGUCCAUACUUUACAUUAGCGUUUACUUUUGGUACAUCUAAAUUCUUCAGGUUUGUAUAAAAGUAUAAUGACAUGUCCAUCAUUACAGUAACAUACAGAGUAGUCUCACUGCCCUGAAAGUUCUCUGUGUUCUGUUUGUCCCUCCCUCCCCCUUAACCCUAUGGCAAUCACUGAUCUUUUUACUGUCU